UUACACGUGUCACUUUGUUUUAACCCUUGCUGCCACGUUUGUUUCACUUUACACAGCUUCAUUAUCUGAGUGAAAGAGCAUAUACAAGUGGGAGAAAGACAGAGAGAGAGAUGCGGCGCCGACUGCUUUCCGGCGAGCCCUCCGUCAAACCCAAUUAGCCUCCGCGGCAGCAACACCACGACCACAUGAUGCUUCCUUCAAAAGAGAUAAAGAGAGAAAUAGGAGAAGCAUAGAGUGUGGUAUAAGAGAGAGAUAGAGAACUUCGACAGUUCGACUUAGGGUUCCGACGAACUCCUUUUGAUGGUAAAUCUGUGCAUAUGUAAGUUGGAGAAGUUGAAGGGUGAAUCCAAUGAUGGCAGAUUAGAGGAAGAGGAGAAGUCAGGAGCAACUUCUACCAUCCAUCAACAAAAAACAGAAGUUGCCGACCUGCACACCGGUUGUUUCACUUAAUGCUUAGUUGAGAUCUAUCAUUCAUUGCAUUUUGUUACGUUUGAGGGGCGGGGGGGGGGGGGGGUAGUGCACGGUCCUCCCAACCGCCGGAGUGAUCCCACUCCGUGAGCCGCUACCCGACCAAGCUAGCUCCACGGUGAAUUCCCUUUGCCGACUUCUUACCCUGGGCGACAUAUGCCACUCCCAAGACUCGAACCCGGUAUACACACACGUCAAUAUUUGAAUUUAGUCAUCCUUCUAUGUUCAUUGUAUACUUAAUCAAUGGUAUCAAAAACGUGUUUACAAUGCUAACUUUGGUUUUGCUAAAUGGGUCGCUUCAGGUUGAUAAAUCAAGGGCAUUCUCAAUAAAAGUAACUUAUUCACUGUUUUUAUACUUCUGAUUAAUAUACACAACUUAUCUAUUCUAUAUAAUAUAACAAGGAAGUUGCUUAUAGAUAAUGGAAAGUAUGUUGAAGCUACUAAAGAAGUUGCUUCUUGACUUUAUUUUUUAGCUUGAAUUGAUCAUAUGAGUUAAGGGUGUAUGAAAGUGAUUAUAUGAUGUUGUAUAAUCCAACCAGAUAGUUAUGGGUCGUGGGACAUAAGGUUUGGGCUUUCAAAUAUUUUGUAUUUUAUUCAUCUCAACCAGCUGUAUAAAUAUUUUUUUAACAACAAAUUUUGUUUGAUAUUUGCGAGGUUUGGUUCCUUGAUUCGUGUGUCAAGAUAACUCCAGCAAGAAUCGAGCAUAUCAAGUAGUACAAAUGCCCAGCCUGUACCAACAAGCGAGCGCGCCCUUGAUUGAAUUGUAAGACCGGUAAACCAAGGAAGAAUGUUUUUAUGUCAUUUCAUUCAACUAAUUGUAGUCGUCAUGGGACAAAAAAAAAUCGCAUUUGUAGGGUUUUAAUGUGCAUUCUUUGUUAUAAUGGUGUAACACCCCAAAUUUCGUAGGACACAUUAUAAUGUUUAAUUCACAAUGAGUUAGCAAAAAGAAAUGGUAAACAUGAAAUUUUACCAUUAUUAAGGUUUAGCAAAGUUAGUGUGUAAAUAUGAGGUAAAGUGAUAUGUUUUAAAAAGAUAAGGGACUAGAUGUGUAAUUAUGUUAUAAAGUUGAUAAAAAAAGAAAAGAAACCAGACUUUGAGUCUGGUGUGCGAUCGAGAGAAGGGCCAGGGAACUCUUUCCCUCUCAUAAACCCUAAGUCACUAAAAUUCCAUCAAUUAAAGGCGAAACUAGCAAGGAAUCGGAUGCAUGAGCAAGGAAUUUUGAUGUACUAAGUGUUCUUAACCUCAAGUAAGUGAAAUUUCAUGAUUUGGUGAUGUUUGAUUUUGUGGGUUUAGUAAAAUUCGUGAAUAUAAUGCAUUAAUUGGUAUAAUUAAUGGUUGCUGUGGUUGUUAAAACAUCAAGAAAUUCUAAAUCUUGAAUAUGAGAGUGGUUUAGGGCAAAACCCAUUUGCAUGACAAAAGAUGGUUAAGAAUUUGUGAAGUUCUACAUGCUAAUUAGGUUGGUGUUGGUGAAAUUGUUAGGAGUAAUUGAUUUAGAACUAUGUGCUCAUGAUUAGAAUGGUAGAUUUCAAGUUAGUAGGAUGUUUAUGUUAAUCAAUGAGUGAAGUAUGGAAAUUGUGCUUAAGAUGCUUGUACAUUGUGCAUAAACUGUGGUACGCACGCCAAGUGCUUGAUGAAAUGCUUAGGUGAGUUUGAUAUAUGAGAUUGUAUGCAAUGAAUCGAUGAAUACGCAUAGAAGGUAUUAAUAAAGUAAUUGAUAGUGAACUAGCUUCAAUAAUAUGCUUUAGAUGGAAUUCAUAUGAGAAUUCGGGUUGAAUGUAUGCUUUGAUCAAAAUCAUGCAUUUUGGGGAUUUUACCUUGUACUUGUAUGGUGUGACGGCCAUCAUGGCUUUGGUUAUUUGUCUAAUGGUGAUUAAGAGGUGAACGUGUACAAAAUGUAAAAACUUGCUAGAUAAUUAUACGACACACAUGAUGGUAGGUUGAUUUGAUUGAACUACGAAUAGUGUAGUAACGAGUCUAUGCCUUAUGAAUGUUAGUGGUGACCAAUGAAAGUCAAGGUGACAUAGGAAUAGAAUGAUUGAUACGAGGAAUGAUCAUGUAUACUAACAAUGUUGAAAUAUGAUGGAAUGAAAGGAUAUGCGUCGUAUUAGCAAGGGAUCAAGCAUGGAAAGCUAACGGGUCAAGAGGAGACAAGGAAGGGAAUACGAAAACGGACGCUCAAGGAUCGAGUACAUCAGAUUCUUACGAAAUUUAAGCCCAACCCGGAAUAAGAGGAUGAGUGAUACACGGACUUCUUCUGCUACUUAGGAAGUGAAGCGGACAUAGAUCGAGUCAAGAGCAAGGAUUGCACGGAUAGAUCGAGUAUAGUUGAAAUAUAUAAUGUCUAGAAAUGUAAAUUUUAAUAUGAAUGUUGUGAAUUCUUUUAUAGUACGUUUAACAUUUUAGCUUUUGGAACCUUCUCAAAAGUAAUGUCGUUAACAAGGAAAGAAAUUU